CUUAGCUUUUGCUAGUCCUCGAGCAAAACAAAGAAAUAAAAAAAAAACAAAACCAACAAACAUAACCUAAACCUUCCAACGUUUGCCUCAGGGAUUUCCAAUGCACAUGUCAUGUUAAAGAUUGUCAUUCCCACAGAUUUGAGUCAAUUUAACACUUAAGCACAUACUUAAUCAUAGUCACUACUUACUAGUUCACAAUUAACCAAUUAAAACAAUGUUUUGAAUGUAGUAACAUGCCUUAGAGAAUUCCCUCAAUCCUUACAAGAUAUGCACUCUAUUUUCACUCAGAUUUUCUAACUACACACCCCUAUACUAGUUAUAUGUGAGAGAAUUGAUGUAGAUAUAAAAAACGAAUGCUCACAUAUAUGUAUCACAAAGAACGCAAUUUCCGGAGUUAACAAGCAUGUUUAGAUAUGAUCUCAUGAAUGGAAUGCUACUACUUAGAUGCGAGAACCAGUGACACCAUAUGCUCAUACCAAAUUCAAACUCCACAAAUUGAAACACAUAACACUCAAGAUAGAAGUUAAGGGUUGCAACGGGGCUUGGGGUUUUGGUUAACAAAGAAAGGAUAGGGAAAACAAACGUUCUUCAAGCAUUAGUACGCAAAGUAAUGGAAUUAAGACUUAGAAUUCACUUAGAUUGCAGAAAUUAACUUUAAAACACAAAGGGAAGACUUAGACAACUCCUUAGGGUCGAAUUCAUUGUUUUGGACUCUUACUUCAACAAACAAUACUUUGGAACACUUUUUCACAUCUUUUCAACUCUUUUUUUUUUUUUUUUUUUUUUUUUUUUUUGAAUUGUUAUUAUUAUUAUUAUUAUUAUUUUCUUUCUACCCGUGCCUAUGGCACACAAUUGACAAAAUAAAAACUUCCCCCACACUUGGUUUCUGCCACAAAGGAAUUCAAUUUGAAUCAUGCUUACUAUACUUUAAGAACGAGGGUAUGGAUAGUCCUAAUCUAGGCUAGGUGAGGGUAAUGUGGGUUAACAAAGAAAAGGCUAAACAAGGCUCAAUAGGGUUAACACCUACAAAACAUAAUGACAUAGGGAUUCAUGGCUUUUUGGCUAAGGUGGUGGUCACUACACAACUUUAUCUUGAAUAUGUGUUAUGCUAAUCAAUAACAUGCUUUGAAUGAAAUGGGCAUGAGUUCUAGUGUUUGGAACUAAAUGAUGAAACGCCUUCUAAGUAGCAACCAAGCAAAGAAUAAUGAGAUCAUGUAACGACUUUAGAAAACAAAGAAUGCACAGAUUUUGACUCUCCAAAUAAACGUUUAGGCUAAAGUCUCACAAGGUUGUAGCGUUAAUUUGAGUUCCUUCCUUCAAGCAUGUUACAAAAACUGAUUUUUCCUUUAUGAUUACAUGUGAAUUCAUAAGUUAUAACCACAACCAAGCAUAAACCAAAGGGUAAAUCAAACUUUUAUCCAUGUUUAUAAAUUUCUUUAACCGUCAUGCAAUUACAAACCGAAUCCUCAUCAUUGUGUUGGAAGGUACCCUAAGACACAAACAAACACACAAAAACAACUCUUUUUGGGUUUUUAAAACAAAUUUUCAAAUUUUUAUGGGAUUUUCAGAUUUUUUUACUUAAAACACACUAAAACACACCAAAACAGCUUAAAAAGGCUUAAAAACAGUGAAAAACAACAUUAGAAAUUAUGAGUGAGAAAACCCUACGAAUUUGCAUCAAAACACUUUGGUUACCCCCCCACACUUAAAUCAAACAUUGUCCUCAAUGUUUCAAGCAUAGACUAACACAAAUAACAAACAAACAAACAAAACAGCAACUAAGCAAUUUAACAUGGCAUAAAUGAAAACAACAACAAAGAGAAGGGUUUAGGAACGCAAAUCUGGAAUUGGAGUGUUCUCUAUGUCCUCCUUUGUUGAAUGCAUGGGUUGCCUCCCAAGUAGCGCUUGCUUUAACGUCGUACAGCCGGACGAAGACCUCAUUCACUCCUUACUAGGGCCCACGGCAUUCAAGGGUAUGUCAUCCACGGCAUGCUCCACAAAGGUGUCAUAAUAGGGCUUCAAACGAUGCCCGUUCACCUUGAAUUCUUGUCCCGUUUUCAAGCUUUGGAUUUGGACUGCACCAUGAACAAAAACAUUAGUAAUAACAAACGGUCCAAUC
rnacentral:lncRNA from 1 species